GUUCUUCAGCAAACUGGGGAUGUUGGUCUUGAAAAUAUUUCCACUCAGCCACAUCUGAAGGAUAUUUCAUUUCUCCAUCUUUUGCUUGAUGCUCGGCAUGCCAUCUCAUUGCUGCUGCAGUCUUGUGGCUUUGAUACAUUCGCUUCAAUCUGUCUGCAACAGGUAAAUACCACAUACGACUAUAUGAUAUCUUUGUUCGACGUCGGUUUUCAUUAGGCUUCCAUCUUUGAUGACCACACAAGAGACAUUUAUCUUCUUUUUCGUCAUCUUUCCAGAAUAUCAUACAAUUNNN
rnacentral:lncRNA from 1 species